rnacentral:rRNA from 1 species
GACGAACGCUGGCGGCGUGCCUAAUACAUGCAAGUCGAACGCAUUUUCUUUCACCGUAGCUUGCUACACCGAAAGAAAAUGAGUGGCGAACGGGUGAGUAACACGUGGGUAACCUGCCCAUCAGCGGGGGAUAACACUUGGAAACAGGUGCUAAUACCGCAUAAUUCCAUUUACUGCAUGGUAGAUGGAUGAAAGGCGCUUUUGCGUCACUGAUGGAUGGACCCGCGGUGCAUUAGCUAGUUGGUGGGGUAACGGCCUACCAAGGCUGCGAUGCAUAGCCGACCUGAGAGGGUGAUCGGCCACACUGGGACUGAGACACGGCCCAGACUCCUACGGGAGGCAGCAGUAGGGAAUCUUCGGCAAUAGACGCAAGUCUGACCGAGCAACGCCGCGUGAGUGAAGAAGGUUUUCGGAUCGUAAAACUCUGUUGUUAGAAAAGAACAAGGAUGAGAGUGGAAAGCUCAUCCCUUGACGGUAUCUAACCAGAAAGCCACGGCUAACUACGUG